CUCCCGACUUUCUUAGAGGCAGCGAGAACAGAGCAGGAGAUAUAGAGUUUGCCGCCCUCUUUGAUGCUGUUUUAUACAUUCACCCCACCAAGCCUCGGAGAGAGCGUUCUGAGACAAGGUGUUCUCCAGUCUCAGCCCAACAACGUACUGAUCUUCAUUAACCCCCAGGAAAGACGCAGAGGACACAGGAAGAAAGGAGGAGAGAGGAAGAGAGGAGAGAGCAGGGCAGAUCGGGGGAGAGGGCCACAGAGCAAUCACAGACCUCAUUAUGAACACUGAAAGACCUGGCCAGAUGAGAUGGAGGGGAGAGAGAGAGCGAGAGCCACCCGAGGGACACUGAACACACACAGCCUGCAGGCUACAGCUCCACACCAGACAGAGCAUGGGCUGUUCACUACAUUGGCACUUUGUGAUGGCACCUCCGCACUGUUCGUCCAACCAGGAUGAAGAGCAGUGCUGCCAGCAGGAAGAAGAAGACGGAGAAGGGAGCAAACAGGAAGGAGGUGGUAGACUGUUGGACACUGAGAGGAGUGUUGUUGCUGGGCAGCGUAGUCCUCCAGAGUGUCCAGUACCUGGGUCCAGACUACAUACAUCAUUAUUACAACCAGGAGACAUAGACCUGGAGAGAGGAGAGGGAGAGGGGGAGGAAGAGGGAAACAUUUAAACUCAAUAAAAGUUAAUAGAACAUAAAUGCGUCUCCUGAUUAGUGGCAACUUGUCAUUCAGGGCAGGUGGGGUUGCCUGUUUGCAUGUUAUUUUGGCAUUAAUACAUGUCACAUAUCAGUUUGAAAACAAUGUAAAAAAUAUAUAUAUAAUAAUGUUAAUAAAGCCGCAUACAAGCUUG
ensembl:lncRNA